UAUUGAUGAAAGUGAUGCACAUUACCACCUCCUCAGGAGCUGGAAGAACUCACCCAUGGGAGAAGUUUAAAAGCAAUGAAAGCACCUGCUCCGAACCAGGGAGGAUACUGUCUGGAAACGCCUUUAAUCUCUGAUUUCCACUCAGGACAAGAGUGAAGGGGAAAAGGAAGAAUAAUGGAAGAACGGAUCGCUCUGGGCAUUGUUGCCAAGCUGGUGUGGCUCAGCGG